rnacentral:ncRNA from 1 species
UUAAAGUUUAAUUUUAGCUUAUUAAUUAUUAAUAAUUUAAUUUAUAUGUAAAUUUAUAUAUUAAUUAUUAUUUAUUUUAAAAAUUAAUAAUUUAGUUUUAUUUGCAAUAAUAAAUAUUAUUAAUUAAUGAAAUUUAGAAAUAGUAAUAUUAAAAAGUAUUAGUAAAUUUUGUGCCAGCAACUGCGGUUACACAAAUAAUGCAGAUAAUUAAUUUUAGUUAAAGUUAAAUUAAUUUAAAGUAAAUAAAAAUAUAAUUAUAAGGUGAAAUUUUAAUUUUAUAAAAUUUAAUUAAAAAAAAAAUUGAAGCUUAAAAAUUUUUUAAAAAACUAGGAUUAGAUACCCUAUUAUAUUAAAUUUAAAUAGUUAAUUAAGGUAGUAAUAGUUAUAAUCUUGAAACUUAAAAAAUUUGGCGGUAUUUUAGUCUAUUCAGAGGAACUUGUUUUAUAAUUGAUAAUCCCCAUUGGACCUUUCUUAAUUUUGUUAUCAAUUUAUAUACCGUUGUUAUUAGAAUAUUUUUAUAAAAUGUUAAUAUUUUAAAUUUUUUUUUAAAAAAAGUAUAUCAAAUCAAGGUGUAGUUUAUAAUUAAGAAAAAAUGAGUUACAAUAAAAUUAUUUAAAUGAAUUUAAAUAUGAAAAAGUUAUUGAAAGUGGAUUUGAAAGUAAAAUUAUAAAGAUAAAUAAUUUGAUUUUUAGCUCUAAAAUAUGUACAUAUCGCCCGUCACUCUUGUUAUUAAAAUAAGAUAAGUCGUAACAUAGUAGAUGUACUGGAAAGUGUAUCUAGAGUACA